GGGCAUAUGGUGUAGGGGUUAUCACGUUCGCUUUGCAUAACUCGAGAAUCAGUUUCCUGCUUUGCGAAAGGUCUCCGGUUCAAAUCCGGAUUUGUCCA